AGAGUUUGAUCCUGGCUCAGGACGAACGCUGGCGGCGUGCCUAACACAUGCAAGUCGAACGGAGAUACGAUUUCGGUUGUAUCUUAGUGGCGAACGGGUGAGUAACGCGUGAGCAACCUGACUCUUAGAGGGGGAUAACACUCGGAAACGGGUGCUAAUACCGCAUAAGACCACGACAUGGCAUCAUGACGAGGUCAAAGGAGCAAUCCGCUGAGAGAGGGGCUCGCGUCCCAUUAGAUAGAUGGCGGGGUAACGGCCCACCAUGUCCGCGAUGGGUAGCCGAGCUGAGAGGCUGAUCGGCCACACUGAAACUGAGACACGGUCCAGACUCCUACGGGAGGCAGCAGUGGGGAAUAUUGGGCAAUGGGCGCAAGCCUGACCCAGCAACGCCGCGUGAGGGAAGAAGGCUUUCGGGUUGUAAACCUCUGUCCUUGGUGACGAAAAAAAUGACGGUAGCCAAGGAGGAAGCCCCGGCUAACUACGUGCCAGCAGCCGCGGUAAUACGUAGGGGGCGAGCGUUGUCCGGAAUUACUGGGCGCAAAGGGUGCGUAGGUGGCCUUUUAAGUUGGAUGUGAAAUACCCGGGCUUAACUUGGGGGGUGCAUCUAAUACUGGAAGGCUAGAGUGCAGGAGAGGAAAGCGGAAUUCCUAGUGUAGCGGUGAAAUGCGUAGAUAUUAGGAGGAACACCAGUGGCGAAGGCGGCUUUCUGGACUGUAACUGACACUGAGGCACGAAAGCGUGGGGAGCAAACAGGAUUAGAUACCCUGGUAGUCCACGCGGUAAACGAUGAAUACUAGGUG
rnacentral:rRNA from 2 species